AUUUGAAGAAAUAAUGGCUACAAAGUCUCCUAAUCUGGGGCAUCUCAAGGGUACUUUGGGGAAGUCUCACAAGACGAUGAAAGAUUAAAGAACUAGAUCCAUGGUACCAUAUAGAUUGAUCAGAAAACCACCAUAUAGGAUCCAUAUACCAUCAACUCACUCCUAAAUGACUUCUAAAAUUAUUUCUAAACAGUUUUGGCAUCUAUAUGUGCAUUCAUUCCAGCAAGAAGCAAUUAUUAUACCAUGCCUGGCAUUAUACAGUAUAAAGUUUUCCUGAACUAUUCUGCAAUCUACCAACAAACUCUGUAUCUGGCUAAAACAAGAAUAUAUUAAAAAUUACUAUUUCAUGGCAGUAGACAUACCCAAUACUCACUGAGAGGAUUCUUGCCUUCCACAGCUGCUUUCAAUUUAAAUAACCACCUAUAAAGACAAGACAAAGUGUACUUUCUGAAAUGUUAAAAAUGAGGAAAGGCAAGUCCAAAAGAAACAACACACAGACCAACAGCUUUCCUUUUUAACACUUUGCUCCUCUUCUUGCGAUUCAAAAAAAAAAAAAAAAAAAAAAAAAAAAA